rnacentral:rRNA from 1 species
CAGCCGCCGCGGUAAUACGGAGGGUGCAAGCGUUAAUCGGAAUUACUGGGCGUAAAGCGCACGCAGGCGGUCUGUCAAGUCAGAUGUGAAAUCCCCGGGCUUAACCUGGGAACUGCAUUUGAAACUGGCAGGCUAGAGUCUUGUAGAGGGGGGUAGAAUUCCAGGUGUAGCGGUGAAAUGCGUAGAGAUCUGGAGGAAUACCGAUGGCGAAGGCAGCCAUCUGGCCUAAUACUGACGCUGAGGUACGAAAGCAUGGGGAGCAAACAGGAUUAGAUACCCCGGUAGUCCCUGUCUCUUAUAC